UAACUCUGGUUUCUCUUCAGUCAUGCCUAUAUCUUUUGCCUUUUACUAACAAUUUCUGUGGAGAGGAACAUCAAUGAGUUUGAUGUAUUUUUGUGAGCUUUGCUCUGGCAAAGCU